rnacentral:rRNA from 1 species
UACGUAGGGACCAAGCGUUGUUCGGAUUUACUGGGCGUAAAGGGCGCGUAGGCGGCAAUUCAAGUCAGCUGUGAAAUCUCCGGGCUUAACUCGGAACGGUCAGCUGAUACUGCUUUGCUAGAGUGCAGAAGGGGCAAUCGGAAUUCUUGGUGUAGCGGUGAAAUGCGUAGAUAUCGAGAGGAACACCUGCGGCGAAGGCGGGUUGCUGGGCCGACACUGACGCUGAUGCGCGAAAGCCAGGGGAGCGAACGGG